CGUUUAUUUGAUAGUACCUUACUACUUGGAUAACCGUGGUAAUUCUAGAGCUAAUACAUGCUGAAAACCCCGACUUCGGAAGGGGUGUAUUUAUUAGAUAAAAAACCAAUGCCCUUCGGGGCUCUUUGGUGAUUCAUAAUAACUUAACGGAUCGCAUGGCCUUGCGCCGGCGACGGUUCAUUCAAAUUUCUGCCCUAUCAACUUUCGAUGGUAAGGUAUUGGCUUACCAUGGUUUCAACGGGUAACGGGGAAUUAGGGUUCGAUUCCGGAGAGGGAGCCUGAGAAACGGCUACCACAUCCAAGGAAGGCAGCAGGCGCGCAAAUUACCCAAUCCCGACACGGGGAGGUAGUGACAAUAAAUACUGAUACAGGGCUCUUUUGGGUCUUGUAAUCGGAAUGAGUACAAUUUAAACCUCUUAACGAGGAACAAUUGGAGGGCAAGUCUGGUGCCAGCAGCCGCGGUAAUUCCAGCUCCAAUAGCGUAUAUUAAAGUUGUUGCAGUUAAAAAGCUCGUAGUUGAAUCUUGGGCCUGGCUGGCCGGUCCGCCUCACCGCGUGCACUGGUCCGGCCGGGCCUUUCCUUCUGGAGAGCCCCAUGCCCUUCACUGGGUGUGCGGGGGAACCAGGACUUUUACUUUGAAAAAAUUAGAGUGUUCAAAGCAGGCCUUUGCUCGAAUACGUUAGCAUGGAAUAAUAGAAUAGGACGUGCGAUCCUAUUUUGUUGGUUUCUAGGACCGC
rnacentral:rRNA from 1 species